rnacentral:lncRNA from 1 species
AUGAAUCCAAGUCUAUAGCACCGGUGCCUAAAGAAUAUUCCAUAUUGGUCAACAACUACUGGCCACCCUGCUGGAUCUUUCAGAUCUCUGGGCUGUCUAAAGAAUCCAAGGAUGAGGAUUGCUACUGAGGCAGCUAGUGAGAAUCUAAAAUCCACAGGAUAUUUUGCUUUUCCAGUGUUAUUGGCUUGAAAAUUUACCACCAUCAGAUAGUAGUGGUGCAAACAACAUCCAUAUCUUUGAUGUGGUCCUGGUGCAUCAAAAGAUGCAUGCACUACAACCAGCAUCCACAAGAAAAUGAUAUGAGAAUUUGCCUUUGAAAUCUUAAGGGAAAACUGCGGACUAGGCUCCAGAAGAAGCACCAUCAUCCAUCUCAUGCUGACAUCCGUGGAUGCCAACUGAAACCAAACACAUGAAAAUCAUUUUCUUGAUGUUCAGGAUAGAAGCUAUUAAGAAGUGUACGCUUGGAAGUGAAACUGCUGUCGCAAACCACUGAGUAGCACUACAUGGUAAUUCACAAUUUUUCACAUAUCAAAGUAUCAAACUGAACGCAGAACUGUUUCAUCAUGAAGUCAGUUCUGCUAAGUUAUUGGGCAUCAUUAACGCCAGGCUUCAAUUCUCUCUGUCAGGGAGUUUAUACGGCUCAAAUUGCUGAUUCCUUUGCUCUUAUUCUGAACUCCAAUAGCUAGAGCCACCAUAUGCUGCUCCUCUGUUCUCUUAGUACAGUUCAUCUGAAUGGAAUCACUGGACUGGCCAGUUCUGCUUUCUGGGAUGCUCUCUUUGAUGUCAUUCCUUGGACCACUUGCUAGAUUGGUUGCUGUAUAGGGACCAAUGGGAGUUCCACUAGAC